UACGAAGGGGGCUAGCGUUGCUCGGAAUUACUGGGCGUAAAGGGCGCGUAGGCGGACAGUUAAGUCAGGAGUUAAAGCCCAGGGCUCAACCUUGGAAUCGCUUUUGAUACUGGCUGUCUUGAGUACGGGAGAGGUGAGUGGAACUGCGAGUGUAGAGGUGAAAUUCGUAGAUAUUCGCAAGAACACCAGUGGCGAAGGCGGCUCACUGGCCCGGUACUGACGCUGAGGUGCGAAAGCGUGGGGAGCAAACAGG
rnacentral:rRNA from 1 species